UGUAGGUUCUGGAUAUUAGCCCUUUGUCAGAUGAGUAGAUUGCAAAAAUUUUCUCCCAUUCUGUAGGCAGGCCAGAUUCUUAAACUGGGUAAUAGAGGUUCCUGACCUGGAGCCUGUCAUAGUGUCUGUCAGUGUUACUGAUGGCGGCUGUCAGACUCCAGGGGUGCCAGUAUUACUGUGGACUAGUAUUAUUCUGUGAGACUGUUACUGAGUCCAUCAACAUCGCUGUGUCACUGUGUUGAUGUCACCGUCAGUGUUACUCUAUGUGACGGAGUCUCAUUGCAUCUUUGAUUCUGAGGCUACUGUCACUGUGACUGUAUCAUUGUCAACUGGUAUCAUUGCCCUGUUUGUUGGUGUCAAUGUAUGUGACUGUCACUCACUGCAUUAUUGUCAUUGUGGUGACUGUCAACAUCCCUGUGUGUCAUUGUCAAUGGUACAACUGUGUCAUUUUCAAUGGGCGUUGUUAUCAUUGUGUAAUGGUGUCUUUAUGCCACAGCAGGACAAUGGCAGUAAGUUGGGACCCCAGAAUUUGACUCUUAAUGUGUUACCUGUGUAGGAGUAAUGAUGACACUGGGGUUCUUUGCUGGGAUAGGUGCAGGGACCCUUGUGCUGACAAGGGAUUCAGGGGCUUCUGGGCCCUGGGCUCCUUUCUUGCUUAUGGGGUACCCCCUCUGUUCCCUCCUCAUUCUGGGGCUGACCUCUUCAAGGGGCUGAUAGGAAGCCUGGGCCAGUUUGCAUAGCCCUUAUCUGGGGCUCUAUGGGAUUCAUCCUGCAGAUCUAUCCCAGAGCCAUAGGGUGUGGACUUGGAAAAUUCUCAGGAAAGAUGCUCUUUACCCUGGGAUGGGUGGCCUGGAAUGAGCCAAGGCAGGAUGGAGGUGUGUCCUGGAUGCCUCUGGCCUCAACCUCCGACCUGGGCAGUGGGCCCAGUUGGGAGUCUGAGGAAAGGGGGAAGUGACACUGGCCUGGGGCUUUCUGGAUCUGCAGGGCAGGGGCAUGGAUGGGGUUUCACCCUUGUCCCCUAGGGGCUGGGGUCCUGGAUCCCCAGAAAGAAUCCUUCCAGCCUCCAGGAGGGCCCUGCUCUUGCCUCACAUAACAUUGACCACCAUCCCAUCCUCCUUUGUGCUAGAGGAGCUGGGCAGGCCAUGGAGAUGCUCUAGGGUGGGCAGAGACCCCUCCCAGGGGUCUCCUCCCUUCUCUCUGGAUCUGUCCCUCUGCCCUUGAGUCUCUGCCCAUCUCCUAUGUGCCCCAUCUUUCCCCCUGCGUCUCUCCUAUCUCAGCCUCUCCUUGUCCCUCUGGGUCUCCACUCAGAGCUCCUUCUCUCUCCCUGCCUCUUGUUUCCCCUCCCUGAGUCUCUCCCUUUUCUGGGUGCCCCCAACCCUGCAGUGUCUGUCUUGGCACCCCACCCCCACUCUGCAGCACUCACUCUCAGCAGCGCCCGUCUCCCGUGGCUGCAGCCCUGUUGGCCCAGGGCCCGGCCCUUACAGUAACUCAUCGGGCUGAUGGAGGCGACUUUGAUGAAGAAGCCACCCCUCCCCCUGCGGGGGCCUGAGUGUGUGUGUGUGAGUGUGUGUGCGUGUGCACGCAUGCACGUGGGAGUGUGUGCUUGUGCGGACCAGGAGGGAGCUGGGAGUAAAGGCCAUCCGUUCCUCCUCUCCCUAAACACUCCCAUCCUUGGAUCUAACCUCAGCCGCUCUGCCUGCUCUUCUGCCUGCCCAUGCCCUGGUUCCUGCUCCCAUGUGGUGGGCAGUGGGCCUGGGACCAAGGCGGAGGAUCUUCCUGGCUGUGAGGAGAAAGACAUGGACAGAUGGCAGAGGCAGUGGGGGAAGGUCUGAGGGCGACUGGCCAGGGCUGAGGUCAGGGAACCAGAUGGCUGCUCCUGUCCCGUGGGCCUGCUGUGCUGUGCUUGCUGCUGCCGCUGCAGUUGUCUACACCCAGAGACACAGUCCACAGGAGGCACCCCAUGUGCAGUACGAGCGCCUGGGCUCCGACGUGACACUGCCAUGUGGGACAGCAAACUGGGAUGCAGCAGUGACGUGGCGGGUAAAUGGGACAGACCUGGCCCCUGACCUGCUCAACGGCUCUCAGCUGGUGCUCCGUGGCCUAGAACUGGGCCACAGUGGCCUGUACGCCUGCUUCCACCGUGACUCCUGGCACCUGCGCCACCAAGUCCUGCUGCAUGUGGGCUUGCCGCCGCGGGAGCCUGUGCUCAGCUGCCGCUCCAACACUUACCCCAAGGGCUUCUACUGCAGCUGGCAUCUGCCCACCCCCACCUACAUUCCCAACACCUUCAAUGUGACUGUGCUGCAUGGCUCCAAAAUUAUGGUCUGUGAGAAGGACCCAGCCCUCAAGAACCGCUGCCACAUUCGCUACAUGCACCUGUUCUCCACCAUCAAGUACAAGGUCUCCAUAAGUGUCAGCAAUGCCCUGGGCCACAAUGCCACAGCUAUCACCUUUGACGAGUUCACCAUUGUGAAGCCUGAUCCUCCAGAAAAUGUGGUAGCCCGGCCAGUGCCCAGCAACCCUCGCCGGCUGGAGGUGACAUGGCAGAUCCCCUCGACCUGGCCUGACCCUGAGUCUUUUCCUCUCAAGUUCUUUCUGCGCUACCGACCCCUCAUCCUGGACCAGUGGCAGCAUGUGGAGCUGUCUGAUGGCACAGCACACACCAUCACAGAUGCCUACGCCGGGAAGGAGUACAUUAUCCAAGUGGCAGCCAAGGACAAUGAAAUUGGGACAUGGAGUGACUGGAGCGUGGCUGCCCAUGCUACGCCCUGGACUGAGGAACCGCGACACCUCACUACGGAGGCCCAGGCUGCGGACCACGACCAGCACCACCAGCUCCCUGGCACCCCCACCUACCACGAAGAUCUGUGACCCUGGGGAGCUGGGCAGCGGCGGGGGACCCUCGGUACCCUUCUUGGUCAGCGUCCCUGUCACUCUGGCCCUGGCUGCCGCUGCCACCACUGCCAGCAAUCUCAUGAUCUGAGCCCGGCACCCCAUGAGGACAUGCAGAGCACCUGCAGAGGAGCAAGAGGCCGGAGCUGAGCCUGCAGACCCCGGUUUCUAUUUUGCACACGGGCAGGAGGACCUUUUGCAUUCUCUUCAGACACAAUUUGUGGAGACCCGCGGCGGGCCCGGGCCUGCCGCCCCCCAGCCCUGCUGCACCAAGCUGGCCCUCCUUCCUCCCUCGUGGGAGGUGGGCCAUGCAGCUAACCCACCCACCAAAGACCCCCUCACCCUGGCCCCUUGGGCUGGACCCUCCAAUGCCAGCGACUCCCAGGAGCCCUUGGGGGACGUGAGGGAGCCUCUCACAUCCGAUUUCUCCUGCCCCAGCCUCCUGUCUAUCCCAGGGUCUCUGUUGCCACCGUCAGAUUAUAAGCUCCUGAUGCUGGGGGGGCCCAGCCAUCCCCCUCCCCCCAGCACCCACACUUUUCAGUCCCCUCCCCUCUGCCCUGUUUUGUACACCCCUCCCCUGACCCUGCUCCUAUCCCACAGUAUUUAAUGCCCUGUCAGUCCCUUCUAGUCUGACUCAAUGGUAACUUGCUGUAUUUGAAUUUUUUAUAGAUGUAUAUACAGGGUGGGGGGGUGGGGGGUUCUCAUUAAACGUCACCAUUUCAUGAG